GACACCCCGCGGGGACCCCUCGUCCGCCGCGCCGGUUGGUCGGUUACGGCGGGUCCGGGCGCCCCCUGCCGGCUGUUGGGCGCAGCGAAGGGGCCUUUGCGCUUACUUGGCGGCGUCUUCGGUUUCAUAUUGUCUUGGUGAUUCAGUGCAAUUCUCCACUCCCUGCUGUCUCUGCUGAUCUCUCACAUUUCACCCAUCAGUAUAUGCCAUCUUCUAUUUUUCCAAUCACUUCCCAUAUUCACGUAAGUUGGUAGCAGGUAGCAUAAGUCUCUGGCCUCUCCUUUUAACUCACGAGAGCCACUAGCUCGGUGUUUUCUGCAGAGGAGUCACUGAAAUGUUUAUAAUUCACUCACUCUCUGGUGCAAGGACCAUAACUCUCGCACGUCGCGUCUUCCACGCAUCUCAUAAACUUACGGUAAAAACCACAGGUGCUGAAUCAAGGAGAGGAGAGAAAUGACAGCCCCAUCUAUAAAAGGCACAAGGAUAUGAAUGAAAAAAAGGAAACAACAAGAAGCAGGAGCAGGCUACAAGAAUGAAUAUGUUGGUGUUUGAGGAGAAAAGAAAUUUGCACAGAAGGAGCUAUCAGGAUAAGAGCGACUCAGGGAGUGAAUGAUAGGCCGUGGUUCCCUGGGAACACCCCUUCACACCAGGAUGCAGUCCUCAUGGAAGAUGGAAGAGCCUCUUCCAUCUCUUGCACCAAUCAGGCCUCCGGAAAUUCUAGGUACUGAUCACGUCCAGUGAGGAAUUUCAGGCUUUUAUGCUGAAAAAGUCGAUGAUUGGCUGGAUCAUCUCAUGGAGAAGAGAGGUGGCCAGAGCCUUGCGGAAUUUGCUGCCACCUAGCUCUUCCAGGGGAAACCUGAAAACAUUCUUGUCCUUCAGACAAGAGUAAAAGGAAGACCCUCCUGAUGUGGCACAGAACUGUGAAGGCCUCCUGCUUUGUCAGGCCAUGGCUCUGGGCUAGGUCACAGCUCAGGGUGCAGAGAGAGCUGGAGAACAUCAUCCCACGCAUCAGGGGUGAGGAGGCUGGCAGGGCCACUGGUGGGAGGCAGCUGGCCAGGCUGAGUGAGCCUUUACCCAGAUGUCUCAACACCUGCCUGGCUGUGAAAUUCCAUCAGGACUUUCAAUUUUUUUACUCACCUCAAUUUGUUUCUGCUUCAUUCACUUUCUGUUCUAUUUAUGGACCUCAGGUAAUGUCAUGUCUUCAGCACUUCUUUUGUAUUAUUAUUAUACAAUGGAAAUCAACACACUCAGAAAAUGAAAGAAAUCUCAAUCCAAUAGGAUGUAUUUAUCCACAUGAGAACUAAGUCUGAGUCUAUGUCUGUUUUUAAAUUCUAAUAAUACUACUUAGAGUUUUGAUCCUGGACAUUAUUUUUACACUUCUUAAAUUGCACUGAAAUACAAGUUGCCUCAACUCUCUGCAUUUCUCUUUUAAGAGGCUAAUACACUAUAUUUGAUUUCCUCUACCUUUCUUUACAUGUUUACAAACAAAAAUUCAUGUUUUCUGAUUUAAUCUACACAUAUUCAUGGCAUAACACUGGAACUCCAAGACUUAAGCCCUCCAGUUGUCUUCAUUCUGUCAAUUAAAGCGUAUUGACUGCAUUUAUGUGACAAUGUGCUUGUCAAUGUGCAUUCAGGGAUAAGUAAGACAGGAUGGUGACUGCCCUCCAGGGAUCAGGAAAGACAGACAUUAAAGACAUAUUUAUGAUUAAUUAAACACUAGCAUGCUCAGUGCAGCUAAAAAGUACUGAGAGCUAAUGAAGAAGGGAAUUGGGAGGCAUUAGAAAGUCCCACUUUCUGACAACAUCUAUGGCUCCUGGGAAGUUAAAUGACAUCAGAUUUUCCUUUCCACUUCUGAAAACCUGAGACAAUUUUAUUAGUUGUCACAUAGGAAAUUGUAAAGAUUAAAUAAAGUUUGCAAAUUACUGGUGGAGAAUCUGAGAAUAGUAAAUGAUGGUUACCUUUAGUAUUAAUACAAUAAAUAUCAGUCAUCUGUAUAGCCCACGUUCAACCAAGUCAAGCCAAGAGAAGCUUUGAUUGCAGCUCCCCUGACACUCUCAGGGUCGGGGAGCCUGGCGCUCCCCAAAUGGAAACACCAGGAGAGCGGGCUGCUUGUAGAACUGCGAAGAGGCAGAGCCCAGGUCCCAGUUGUCAGAGCUAAGCCUGGUACAGGGAAAAGCUGUACAGCCCAUUUGAAGCCCUUCCCAGGGAACCAGUGUCUCAGCAAGUUGUCUGACAGAAAAUGACUGCUCUGUGAAAAGUAUCAAUAAAUAAA